GUGCCGUGAGGUGUUGGGUUAAGUCCSGCAACGAGCGCAACCCUUGUCCUUAGUUGCCCCCGGGUAAUGCUGUGGCACUCUAAGGAAACUGCCCGUGUUAAGCGGGAGGAAGGUGGGGACGACGUCAAGUCAUCAUGGCCUUUAUAUCCAGGGCUACACACGUGCUACAAUGGAUGGCACAGAGAGUUGCGAGUGCGCGAGCAGGAGCUAAUCUCAAAAAACCAUCCUCAGUUCGGAUCGAAGUCUGCAACUCGACUUCGUGAAGCUGGAAUCGCUAGUAAUCGCGGAUCAGCAUGCCGCGGUGAAUACGUUCCCGGGCCU
rnacentral:rRNA from 1 species